UACGAAGGGGGCGAGCGUUGUUCGGAAUUACUGGGCGUAAAGUGUGCGCAGGCGGCCGCGCAAGUCGAGUGUGAAAUCCCCGAGCUUAACUUGGGAAUUGCGCUCGAAACUACGUGGCUGGAGUGUGGCAGAGGAAGGUGGAAUUCCACGUGUAGCGGUGAAAUGCGUAGAGAUGAUGGAGGAACACCGAUGGCGAAGGCAGCCUUCUGGGCCAACACUGACGCUCAUGCACGAAAGCGUGGGGAGCAAACAGG
rnacentral:rRNA from 1 species